rnacentral:rRNA from 1 species
AGUGAACGCUGGCGGCGUGCCUAAUACAUGCAAGUCGAACGGAGAUUAAGUAGCUUGCUAUUUAAUCUUAGUGGCGCACGGGUGAGUAAUAUAUAGCUAACUUGCCCAUUACUAAGGGACAACAGUUGGAAACGACUGCUAAUACCUUAUACUCCGUAUCUAUAUAAGUAGAUACGGGAAAGUUUUUCGGUAAUGGAUAGGGCUAUAUCGUAUCAGCUAGUUGGUAAGGUAAUGGCUUACCAAGGCUAUGACGCGUAACUGGUCUGAGAGGAUGAUCAGUCACACUCGAACUGAGACACGGUCCAGACUCCUACGGGAGGCAGCAGUAGGGAAUAUUGCUCAAUGGGGGAAACCCUGAAGCAGCAACGCCGCGUGGAGGAUGACACUUUUCGGAGCGUAAACUCCUUUUCUUGGGAAAGAAUUAUGACGGUACCCAAGGAAUAAGCACCGGCUAACUCCGUG